UGGGGAAUAUUGGACAAUGGGCGCAAGCCUGAUCCAGCCAUGCCGCGUGGGUGAAGAAGGCCCUAGGGUUGUAAAGCCCUUUCACCGGUGAAGAUAAUGACGGUAGCCGGAGAAGAAGCCCCGGCCAACUCCGUGCCAGCAGCCGCGGUAAUACGGAGGGGGCUAGCGUUGUUCGGAAUUACUGGGCGUAAAGCGCGCGUAGGCGGUUGUGCAAGUUGGAGGUGAAAGCCCAGGGCUCAACCCUGGAACUGCCUUCAAAACUGCACGACUCGAGUCCGGGAGAGGUGAGUGGAAUUCCCAGUGUAGAGGUGAAAUUCGUAGAUAUUGGGAAGAACACCAGCGGCGAAGGCGGCUCACUGGUCCGGUACUGACGCUGAGGUGCGAAAGCGUGGGGAGCAAACAGG
rnacentral:rRNA from 2 species